UCAGGAUGAACGCUAGCUACAGGCUUAACACAUGCAAGUCGAGGGGCAGCGGGAUUGAAGCUUGCUUCAAUUGCCGGCGACCGGCGCACGGGUGAGUAACGCGUAUCCAACCUUCCGUACACUCAGGGAUAGCCUUUCGAAAGAAAGAUUAAUACCUGAUGGUAUGAUGAGAUUGCAUGAUAGCAUCAUUAAAGAUUUAUCGGUGUACGAUGGGGAUGCGUUCCAUUAGGUAGUAGGCGGGGUAACGGCCCACCUAGCCAACGAUGGAUAGGGGUUCUGAGAGGAAGGUCCCCCACAUUGGAACUGAGACACGGUCCAAACUCCUACGGGAGGCAGCAGUGAGGAAUAUUGGUCAAUGGACGAGAGUCUGAACCAGCCAAGUAGCGUGAAGGAUGAAGGUCCUACGGAUUGUAAACUUCUUUUAUAAGGGAAUAAACCCUCCCACGUGUGGGAGCUUGUAUGUACCUUAUGAAUAAGCAUCGGCUAACUCCGUGCCAGCAGCCGCGGUAAUACGGAGGAUGCGAGCGUUAUCCGGAUUUAUUGGGUUUAAAGGGAGCGCAGACGGGUCGUUAAGUCAGCUGUGAAAGUUUGGGGCUCAACCUUAAAAUUGCCGUUGAAACUGGGUUACUUGAGUGUGUUUGAGGUAGGCGGAAUGCGUGGUGUAGCGGUGAAAUGCAUAGAUAUCACGCAGAACUCCGAUUGCGAAGGCAGCUUACUAAACCAUAACUGACACUGAAGCACGAAAGCGUGGGGAUCAAACAGGAUUAGAUACCCUGGUAGUCCACGCAGUAAACGAUGAUUACUAGGAGUUUGCGAUACAAUGUAAGCUCUACAGCGAAAGCGUUAAGUAAUCCACCUGGGGAGUACGCCGGCAACGGUGAAACUCAAAGGAAUUGACGGA
rnacentral:rRNA from 1 species